GUGGGUCCUGGCUGGCUGAUCAGAGCUUUACAAAUGGGCUCCUUCUCCUUAGUGUGAACUGAGCUGCAUCAGGCAGGGUAACAACACAGUAAUGAUGGCACAGACCCAGCUCCUCAUCGUGUUGCUGCUCUGGGUCUCAGGUGCCAGUGGAGACAUUGUGAUGACCCAGUCUCUAGCCUCUCUGACUGCAUUUCCAGGAGAAAUGGUCGCCAUCAACUGCAAGUCCAGUCAGAGUGUGAGCAGCUCCUUAGCCUGGUACCAGCAGAAACCAGGUACUCUUAAGCUGCUUGUCUACUCAGCAUCCACCCAGGAAUCUCGGGUCCCUGACCGGUUCAGUGGCAGUGGGUCUGGGACAGACUUCACUCUCACCAUCAGCUGCUUCCAGGCUGAGGAUGUGGCAUAUUAUUACUCUCACCAGUACCUUAGCUAUUCUUUCACAAUGCUUUAUCCUUCUCCCCAGGCUAUGUGUCAGCGAGUUUCCGCAGCAGCUGCUUUCUCCCACAGGUCCUCAUCUUACACAUUUCCUCUGUGA